rnacentral:rRNA from 1 species
CCUACGGGAGGUAGCAGUGGGGAAUAUUGCGCAAUGGGGGCAAGCCUGACCCAGCAACGCCGCGUGAGGGAAGAAGGCUUUCGGGUUGUAAACUUCUUUCCUCAGGGACGAAACAAGUGACGGUACCUGAGGAAUAAGCCACUGCUAACUACGUGCCAGCAGCCGCGGUAAUACGUAGGUGGCAAGCGUUAUCCGGAUUUACUGGGCGUAAAGCGCUCGUAGGCGGUAGGUCAAGUCAAGGGUGAAAUCCCCGUGCUCAACAUGGGAACUGUCUUUGAAACUGGCAAACUGGAGUGUAUGAGAGGAUAGUGGAAUUCCAGGUGUAGGAGUGAAAUCCGUAGAUAUCUGGAGGAACAUCAGUGGCGAAGGCGACUAUCUGGCACAUAACUGACGCUGAGGAGCGAAAGCGUGGGUAGCAAACAGGAUUAGAUACCCUUGUAGUC